AACGCACAUUGCGCUCUCUGGUAUUCCGGAGAGCAUGCUUGUUUGAGUAUCAGUAAAACACCUCAAGUCCGCUCUUCUUUUUGAAGACGGAUUUGGACUUGAGCGAUCCCAACAGGAGGGGCUUUCCCUUCUGGCGGGUUGCUUGAAAUGCAGGUGCAGCUGGAUUUUCAUCUGGGCUAUAAGCAUAUUUAUUUAGUCCCGUUAAACGGAUUAUUACUUUUUGCUGCAGCCAACGUAAAGGUUGAUUGUCCUCUUGCUGACUGAUGCAGGAAUUUUCGGGGGAUCGGCAACGAUUACCCGUUAAACUCGAUCUCAAAUCAAGUAAGACUACCCGCUGAACUUAA
rnacentral:misc_RNA from 1 species